rnacentral:tRNA from 1 species
GCUUAAAUAGUUUAAUAAAAACUUUAAUUUGUGGAUUUAAUAAUGUGUAAUAGCACUUUAGGCU